ensembl:lincRNA
AUGUGGAUGUCAGACACACACAACGUGAGUCACGCUGACAUAGCUGGGAUGCCUGGAUUGCGAUGGAAUCUCAGAGGUACCAAUCGCAGGCCAGAGAGAUGCCAUUGGCUAGAGGAAACAAUGCCAGAGUGUUCCCAUCUCUGCAGAAGGCAGGGUGUUGAUGGUGUCGGGCAUGAUGACUGCAGCCAGGGGAGGACGACAGCCCUGAAGCAGGAUGGGCACAGGUUGGAGACUAUACAGUAAAACUGGCUCAUACCAGGAUUGAUGUGGAAAAUUCCCGGAGAUGCCAAAGCACCAGUAUCCACUUGACUACAUCUCCAGUCCUGGAUAGUAAGACCAGGUGCCCCAUGGUGACCUCAAGUCAGAAGAAUUCCCUAACUGAGAUCACCAAGAAGGUUGCAUUCAUUUCUCUGUGCUUGCCAAAAUAGGAAAGUCGUCUCUUGGUUUUGAGAGAUUUUUUGUAUGAAGCAUUGAAACAAAGAGUUGGGUUUUUUUGUUUUUUUUAAGUUAACUUCUAGCUCGUAAAAACGAUGUUUGGAAGAACUCCUGCAAAUGCUACAUGCCUUGGUCAUUUGACUUUUUACUGUAACAAGCAAAUCGGAAGCCAUAAAUAAAUUGGGGAAAAGGGUAUACACUUCACCAAAAGAUUCGUUGCUUAUCUAAACACUUCAUCUUGGUACUUCCUUAAAUUGCGGGCACUUCUGGUACAUUUUCAAUGGGUUCAUUCACUUGCGAGUGAACUUUAUAUAUGCCAUUCAGAAAAUCUGGUGAAGUAACUAACAUUCUGAGGAGUGGACAUUUCAUAAAUCACUUUCCUUGAUGUAAGAUGAAAAAAGUGACACCCGCUUGAAUGCAUUCACUUAUUUCCUAUAUGGUAAGAUGCAACAUGUACAAAAAAUGGUUCUGGUCGCCAUAGAAAUGUAAGGAGCUGGCUAUUAAAAUCUGUCUUUGCAAGGGUAAAAAAAAAAAAAAAUUGAUGGCGUGUACCCGAUUUUGAAAUACUUAAAAAUUGCAUCGUGUUAAAGCUAAAAGGGGCAUUUGUAUCUCUUUUCCUCACUUUAAAGAUGAGGAGAGAACAGCCUGGAAAAAAUUAAGUGCCUUGGUCACAUUGAAAGGCUUUGUCUGUGGCAGGCUGUCCAAUUUCAAGUUUUUUUCCCAUUACCAUGCAUCUCCUUUGUAUCCAAACUAUCUGGCAGUCCCUGGUUAGGACUAUUUGGUCCUCAGCUGCUGUCAUGAAUGCUUACUCAUUCCUUGAUUCCACUUUUGUAUUUUUUUUCCUUCUAUUAUUGAAAAAUUUCAAACAUAAAGUAGAGAAUAUAAUAUAAAUAACUCCCAUGUGCCCCUCACUCAGCUUCUACAAUUAUUAACAUAUGACCAAUCUUCUUUUAUCUGUACCUAUCCUCAGCUCUCCCUCCUGCCCAGAUGAAUUUAAGGCUAAUCCGAACAUCAUGUAAUAUAAUCUAUAAAUACCCCAUGUGUAACUGUAUACGAACCCUCUCAUAUCUAUAUCUAUAUCUACAGUGAUUACAACUAACAAAAAUUAACGAUAAGUCCUUGAUAUCAUCAAAUUCCUGAAGUUUUCUGUUCACAUUUCUGUGUGUGUGGGUGUAUGUGUGUGUGUGAGUCUUUGUCUUUUGCAAUUGAUUUGUUAGAAUCAGGAUCUAAACAAAGCUGGAAAUCAUGUUUCAGGUAUCAGGUGGAAUGAUCAGCUGAUCAUUCAAAGUUCUUGCCAUGGAAUGUUUGCAAACUAGGAGGAAUAAAUAACAUACUAAGA